AGAAUAUACGGUCUUCGCCAAAAACAUCAAAAAAACACUGGCCUUCUUCCACGCACCGCCUAAACAUUUCCCCACUUUCUCCAUCUUGCUUCCUUCCUUCCUUCUUCCACGCACCACUACUUCCACAGCAGUUAAGGAUCGGUUUCCCUACAAUCCCGAUACGAUUUGAAGAGUUCAAUCCCAAUUCACUCAAACCGAAAUUUCCCAAAUCCAAAAUUAAAGAGUUCCCUUCAAUCCAAAUCGCAGAUUUUUUCGUGUUUUAGCCCUUCUCCGGCGAACUUUUCUCGGCGGCGGCUUAUUAUCUGGCGAUAGUACUUCCCGGCAGCGUGUGGUUGAAUUAUCAAUUGGAGGAAAGGGUCGGGGAAGAUUGGAAAGGUAGAAUUGCUGGACUGGAACCCAUUAACUUCUUAACUGUUGCAACUCCACAUCUGGGUUCACAGAGGUCAUAGACAGGUGGGUACCUCAGCUAGACUCGAAUAAGUAUUUUUCCUAAACUCAAACUGUUAUUUCUGAUAUGAAUGUCUCUAUUUUAGAGCGACAUAGAUUGUAAAACUUUUGCGUGCUACUUGUUAGUUGUUACAGACAAGCUGGAUAUUUGUUCUGCCUCUAGAAAGCUUGAUUUUCAAUUUUUAGCUCCAUGCACACUCAAAGAUCGCCAAACUUUAAUUCUAAUUAUCCCUCUCUCGACACUGAGUCUUUUAGUAAUCAUAUAAAAUGUCUGGAGAGUCGAUUUUACUAAAGAACGAUAUGAUGCAAAUGGUGGGAGACUGCAGCAGGGCUAUAGAUGUCUGGUUUGCUGGGGGCUGGCCUUAUUUAAGAAUGUUUAAGAAAGAUGGUCGUAUAAAAAAGAGAUGGGGAAGUCUUGACAUUUGAGAAAAGAGCUGGGAAAGAUGUUAUGUCGUUACUAUGACCUGCGUUGUGCAAGAUGUUAUGUGCCCGGCUUUAUGACAAGGACAUAUACAUUUCUUCAUAUUAUGGGACUCGUUUUCAUUUCUGAGAGACGAAAAGAAAGAGGCUAGCUUUUCGAGAAAUCUGCUAAUCAUUUAGCUACUGAUGGUCAAAUCCAAAAGUAUAAAAGAGAUUGUGUGGUGUUGUGACUGAGUAAAGUCAAUUUCUGGAGGCCGGUAACAGAAGCACUAAGGCUAAAUAGGUUGCUGAUAGAUUUCGCGUUGAUGCUCUGCAGCUUGAAAGGAUCUUCCAGCACGUGUCCCUGCCACCUGAGAAUAAUACUAGCAGAAAGAAACAUGAGCUUGUUGCCUGAUUUUCCCUUCCUAAUGUUAAUACUAAUUGAAUGACUGAUUGCUUUUUGUGGUAACUGUUAAAAAGUGUAUUUGCGAAACAUUUAGCUAUUUGAUGAUGAUGAUGAAAAGUUCUGCAUGGGCUUGUUAGCUUUUGCCAACAAUUGUAACACCUCGAUACUCUCUGGCGUUGUACACGGAUAACUGAUAUAUCAUGUAAAGAGUUACCAUUUUUCCUGUAAAAAUGAUCCAGAUAACAACUUUAGUUUGCCAGUGGUUUUUAUUUUCUUCCACAUUCGUGUGGAAAGUUCUCCUGUCGUUCCGUGGCGCUUUAGCCAUUAGGUACUUGCAUAAAAUGAGUAUAGAAAGUUGAUGUACUAUGUUCAGUUGAACUGCAUAAUAGUGUAGCCUCUGCUUCGCACUUACCAAACACAAUAAACGGAAUUCAGCUUUGUGCAAAAUUCAGUUAAGGAUUCUCUUCAUUUUCGAUGGUAAUGUGUACUUAUCCAAAAAAUAUUUACUGUACCAGAUGUUACUACAGUUACGGAUUGGAUCCUCUUGUCUGAAAUUAGGUUAAUUGCAACAGAUGUUUACUAUAGUGAUGAACUAGACCAAAUGAGCAAAUUUUUAUUAACUUUUCUGGGUUUCUUAUUGCUGCAAUUGCUGGGUUGCUUAUCGCUUUCCUUGCAAAUUGGAUUUUGGCAUUCAUUUUCCUUGGAUUAAUACCCUUAAUAGGCCUUAACGGAUACAUCCAAAUGAAAUUUAUCAAGGGAUUCAGUGCAGAUGCAAAGAACAAGUACGAAGAGGCAAGCCAAGUUGUUAAUGAUGCAGUUGGGAGUGUAAGAACAGUUGCUUCUUUUUGUGCCGAGGAGAAGGUAAUGCAGUUGUAUGAAAAGAAAUGUGAGGCUCCUGUGGAAGCUGGUAUAAAGGAAGGACUAAUUAGUGGGGCUGGUUUCGAAGUGUCAUUUGCUUUGCUAUUUUUUGUCUAUGCCAUCAGUUUCUAUGCAGAAGCUCAACUCGCAGGGAAUGGAAAAACUACCUUUACCAAGGUCUUUCGCGUAAGUAUCUAUUUGUUUUUUAAAAUUCCAUAUAUAUGAAUAAAAUGUUAAAUGCAACUACGUACGUACUGCAUGUUUUCUUCGCACUUACUAUGGCAGCGAUAGGAAUAUCACAAUCUAGCUCCUUCGCUCCUGAUAGUAGUAAAGCCAAGAGUGUUGCUGCCUCUGUAUUUUCAAUCCUUGAUCGUAAGUCUAAGAUAGACCCAAGUGAUGAAUCAGGGAUGAUCUUGGAUGAUGUAAAAGGUGAAACUGAGCUUCGGUAUUUGAGGUUUUCAUAUCCAACUAGACCUGAUAUUCAGAUUUUUCGAGAUCUAAGAUUGAGCUUCGUUGAACAGCAGCUAGACGAAUCAACUCAACAAGCAUUUCAUCCAAAACAUCUAGUGCACCGGAACUGUGUAGAUUACGGUAAACAAGAGCAAUCCUGUUUUCUGCACCAUAAACCAAUUCCCAUUGAGAGAAUUUAGCAGCAAGUUGGAUUACUUCAAUUGCCAAAACUGGUGAGUCCAAGGAAGACAACAGCAAGUUGGAUUACUUCAAUUGGCAAAACUGGUGAGUCCAAGGAAGACAAUGAUCACUCUUGAACGCACAUUCCGAACAUCAUUCAAAAACCAGUGUGUAGUGAGCCAACAAAGCUCUAUGUAUAGGCGUAUGGCAUCAUACAAAUAUACAUUGUUCUAAUUUUAGUGUGUCGAUUUGAAAUAAUAUGGCACAUGUGGUUCUUUCUCUUUUGUUGUUAUUUUUUUUUCUACCGUGUCGACAACAUUGUAUAGGAUUUUAAGUUAAGAGAUAUCGAGACAUUUAUGUGA